CCUACGUGAGGCAGCAGUAGGGAAUCUUCCACAAUGGGCGAAAGCCUGAUGGAGCAACGCCGCGUGGGUGAAGAAGGUCUUCGGAUCGUAAAACCCUGUUGUUAGAGAAGAAAGUGCGUGAGAGUAACUGUUCACGUUUCGACGGUAUCUAACCAGAAAGCCACGGCUAACUACGUGCCAGCAGCCGCGGUAAUACGUAGGUGGCAAGCGUUAUCCGGAUUUAUUGGGCGUAAAGGGAACGCAGGCGGUCUUUUAAGUCUGAUGUGAAAGCCUUCGGCUUAACCGGAGUAGUGCAUUGGAAACUGGGAGACUUGAGUGCAGAAGAGGAGAGUGGAACUCCAUGUGUAGCGGUGAAAUGCGUAGAUAUAUGGAAGAACACUAGUGGCGAAAGCGGCUCUCUGGUCUGUAACUGACGCUGAGGUUCGAAAGCGUGGGUAGCAAACAGGAUUAGAUACCCCAGUAGUC
rnacentral:rRNA from 1 species